ACACUCCUGCGGGAGGCAGCAGUGGGGAAUUUUGGACAAUGGGCGCAAGCCUGAUCCAGCCAUGCCGCGUGCGGGAAGAAGGCCUUCGGGUUGUAAACCGCUUUUGUCAGGGAAGAAAAGGUUCUGGCUAAUACCUGGGACUCAUGACGGUACCUGAAGAAUAAGCACCGGCUAACUACGUGCCAGCAGCCGCGGUAAUACGUAGGGUGCAAGCGUUAAUCGGAAUUACUGGGCGUAAAGCGUGCGCAGGCGGUUAUGCAAGACAGAGGUGAAAUCCCCGGGCUCAACCUGGGAACUGCCUUUGUGACUGCAUGGCUAGAGUACGGUAGAGGGGGAUGGAAUUCCGCGUGUAGCAGUGAAAUGCGUAGAUAUGCGGAGGAACACCGAUGGCGAAGACAAUCCCCUGGACCUGUACUGACGCUCAUGCACGAAAGCGUGGGGAGCAAACAGGAUUAGAAACCCUAGUAGUCCCA
rnacentral:rRNA from 1 species